CAGUUUAUUGUCCAGCAUCAGUGUGUCUGAUCUCAGCAUCAGUCUCUCUCUACCUCUGGAGGUGGAAUAUCAGGAUAACAACAGCUACAGCUGUGUGCUCAACAAUCCCAUCAAAAAUCAAACCCAACAUUUAGACAUAAGUCAGCUCUGUCACACAGGUUCAGCAUUGGAUGUACUCUUUACUUCACAAAUAGUCUUUCUGAUAGUGCUGGUUUCUGCUCUUGCUGGAUCUCUGUUGAUCGUAGCUGCAGUCGGGAUCUUCUGCAUCUGCAGGAAACACAGAAAAACUGAUCAAGAAGGCAAGAGUUUCCUAAAUGACGUAGCUUUUUAGUUUAAAAGUAAACUUGUUAAUGUUGUCAAAAAUAAUCUGGCAUUAAAACUUCAGUUGCAUACAUUAAUGCUUUACUUUUAACAUGUUGCACAGAAACAAAUCUAGUUAAGCUUGUGUUUUGUUGUUUUAAUGCAUCUAUCAUUAUUGUCAAAACAGUUCAGACUCAUACAGCAGAUAUCACCUACUCUGAUCCGACAUUUCACAGAAGAAACGAACAGAAAUUGCAUGUUAAAGAGGACGAUCAUGUGGAGUAUGCACCUAUUGCCACGAGAAAAUGAUCUUCAGUCUUGAGUGUUUUUUCGUCAGAUCAGUGUCACUGCUUUUACUAGGAAUCUCCUGCAACAACCUCAAACUCUGAGUCUUGGGAUGAGUUUAAAGAUUGGUGAGAAUCACCACGUGUAAUACUUAAGGACCGCUUAUUGAAAGGAUCACCUAAAAAUAUACCUUUGUCAUAUUUAAGUCACUUUCACUUUUUUCACUUUCACUUUCACUUUUAUUUAUGUACACGUGUACGGAACUGUUGUUUGAUCUGUUGUGUGGACAAACAAAAUCUAGUUUAGACAUAGUAGAUAUUUUGCACAAAUAUUUAUAAUUCCAGAUCAACAGAUAAUAUCUUACUUAAGAUGCCGAUUUUUCAUUCAGAGAUAGGUCGUUCUGCUUUUUUUAAAAUUAUGCUCUGUAUGAGCUUCAAGGUACAUUACAUAUGGAAUCUGUAUCAUCUCUCGCUAAGUUUAAUAAUAUUUUAAAGUCUGUUUACAUAGAUCAGUGUACAUGUUUUAAUAACUGACUAGGAUUUGUAUUCUGUUUUAGAAAAUUCUGUUUUAUGUUUGUUCAUUGUGUGGUGAUAUGUAUUUCUUUGUAACUUUGUCUUUUGCCCCCUAUCUUGACCAGGACUCCCUGGUAGAAGAGAUUUUGUAUCUCAAUGGGACCUUCUUGGUUAAACAAGUAAAUAAAAUAAAUAAAUAAAUAAA